AAGCAAUAGAACGUCUUGAAACGAUGCGUUUUGAUUGGACGACUGUAUUAGAAGCGUUCUUUUUUCCUGUAACAAGAAUGAGAAGCUGGCUGUCAACUACCUUCUAGAGCAUAUGAAUGAGUUUGAGGAUCAAUUGAUUUUAAAUUUUUAUUGGAAAUACUCUCAAUCUUUCUGCAAGAUACCAGGAAAUUAUUAUUAUUAUUUUUCUUUUUUUUUUUUUUGAAAAGAAAAGAAAA
rnacentral:misc_RNA from 1 species